rnacentral:lncRNA from 1 species
AAGAGAGAAAGAGAGGAAGAGAGGAAGAGAGGAAGAGGAGAUGCCGUCGAGCCCGCCUAGUCCCGCCGUCGUUCUUGCUGUGUUUUCCUUUGAUUUGAGGCAAGUGAAGUCCUAAAACCUACUCUUUGCAUUGCUGUGUGUAUUUGUGGUUGAUGGUAAGUCUUGGUUGUGGUAGAUGGGAUGAAAUUUUGGAGCUAUAGAGAAAGAUUCGUUGGCCAUGCAUGCUGUUUCUAGAAAGACCAGUUUGACCAUCCUUGAGUUUGUGUGUUGCAUGUGACUUUUUAGUCGGAAUCUUGCUUCGAUUUCUUCAUGAAAGUUGUAGAGAACAUCUUGAAUAAAAACAUACUAAAAUUUGAGGCAAAAAUAACAAGAAAUGGUUAGUGAAAUGAUUUUUCUUUGGAGAGACUAGAUCUGGAAUUCGUCGUGGUGACCUUCAGUGGUUUCGUGGUCUGUAAAGUAACCUUAUUGUUGAAAUUUCACUUUUAUUUCUUAAUGAAAGUUGUAAAGGACAUCCUGAGGUUUGACAUAUAAAAAAUUUAGAGAAAACCAACAAUAAUAGGUAGGUGAAAUCCUGGCUUUUCAGAGGUAGUUAGAUCUGGAAAUUUCGGUACUAAGAACAGAAGUUUUAACUGCCUAUAUAUAAUUUCCUAGGACGAAUCUGACUUUGAUCCUUCAUGAAAAAAUCUAUCUUAGGGCUUGACUACCACAUAGUCGAAUUUCAUAAAUUUUGAAGGCCAUUAGGGUAUUUAAUCGGAAAUGUUUCUAAAACCGUGUAAUCCGAUGUGUUCAGACAUAGUCAGUUUCAAUGCGUGGGCUAUAUCAUUUUUUAUUAAGUUCUUUCGGCAAAGUGUUCUUCAUAAAAUAUAUCUCUUUAUGUCUUCCCUGCAACAUAUUCAAAUUUCAUAAUUUUUGAAGUUCAUUUGCCUAUUUAACUAAAAAAUUUUAAAAAACCGUGCAAGUUAAAUUGUUAGAAUAAUGGUGUUGUGAUGCUUGGUCUAUACCGAAUGGUAUGAAGGCCUGGUAUGAAGUGUUCUUCAUGAAAUAUCUGCCUUUUAUGUCUUGACUAUCACAUGUUCGAAUUUUAUAAUUUUUGAAGGUCAUUUGGGUAUUUAAUUAAAAUGUUUUCUAAAACUGUGCAAGCUGGAUUGUGCGAAUUUCAAAAGCUGUAUGCAUGGACUAUUCUGUUUUGUAUGAGCCCCAUAAAUUGUAUUGUUUUAAGUGAUUGAAUCUUGCUGCACAUGUGAUGAUGUUUGGCAUUACAUAUAAAAUUAAAAGCUGAAAUUGACCUUGUUGCCAUCACAUCAUGUGCCAUAUUGAUAUUGAGACAUAAAUUGUGAAUAUGAAUUAUGAUAAAUGAGGAUACCGUUGGAGGGGUGAGCCGACGAUGCCCCGGGAGUGUCGGAAUGCCCAGACAGGGGAGUGCUGGAUGCCCGAGAUGUGGGGGUGCCGGAUGUCCUCGGGAGUUUCGAGAUGCCCGAGAUGUGGGGGUGUCGGAUGUCCUCGGAGUUUCCGAGAUGCCCGGGAUGUGGGGGUGCAGGAAGCCUCGGAGGUGUGUGUCGAGGAGAUACCUUGUGAUGUCAGUUGGGAUACGAGAUGCCCGGAAUGUGGGGGUAACGGAUGCCCGGUUGUAUUUUGAAUACAUACCCGGAGGUUCCUUGCGAUGCCAGGUUGGGUGCGAGCGAUAAAUUGUGGGAUACAAACAUUGGUCCCUGGAAAGAAAAACUGAUGAGAUCCUUGUGAAAGAUAAGAAUUGAAAAUGAAUCACAUGCAUGGGUGUAUGCAUAUGGCAUGAUGCAUGAUCUGCUUAUGAAAGUAAAUUAAUAUUAUUUGAUAUUGAAAAUGCGAUCAUGAAGAUAUGAAUGGAUCUCAUGGUGAUGUAUGUUUGAUAGCAUGGAUGAUAUGAAUCAUGGUAGUAUAUGCACGAUGGCAUGGUGAGAUAUACAUGACUGCAUUAUGGUAUAUGCACAUAUGGUAUGAAUAUGCAUGAAUGCUUGAUGAUGAGUGCAUGGUGGUAUAUGCACAUAUGGCAUGGUGAUAUAUGCAUGAAUGCUUGAUGAUGAGUGCAUGGUGGUAUAUGCACAUAUGGUAUGAUGACAUAUGCAUGGCUGUAAGGUAAGUUAUGCUUGAAUGCAUGAAUGAUAUGUGCUUUGUUAUGAUGCCUUAAUUUUUCUGUUUGACGCAAUGAGUAGUUUGGUGGAUCUUUACUGCUAAGUGGUUGUACUCACCCCUUUUGGGGAUUAACAUUCCAGACUAAAUAAGAUUCUUCUGCUGCCACUGCUACUAGUAAAUAGAUCAAGUGAUUGGAUAUGACCGCGAGGAGGAGGAUAGUAAAGGAAGGAACUUUUGGACGCCGACACUAAUCGAUGGACUUUAAGUAUACGAGUGUUGGAGGAGAUGUCGGUCAUCUUUUGAAGUAUAGCCAAGUAUAGAUAACCAUGGCAUUUUGAUGUACUGAUGAAUGAUGUAUAUCUAGUUUAAGUAAAUAAAAGUGUUCGACUUUUAC